GAUAAACGCUGACAGAAUGCUUAACACAUGCAAGUCGAUGAUGGGAAGCUAAGCCUAGCUUAGAAGAAGUCAUGGCGGACGGGUGAGUAACGUGUAAGGAACUUGCCCUCUAGACUGGGAUAACAGAUAGAAAUGUCUGGUAAUACCGGAUAUUAUUGUUACAUGGCAUCGUGUAGGAAUGAAAGGAUAAGAUUGCUAGAGGAGAGCUUUGCAUCCUAUUAGCUAGUUGGUAAGGUAGUGGCUUACCAAGGCGAUGAUAGGUAGCCGGCCUGAGAGGGUGGACGGCCACAAGGGGACUGAGACACGGUCCAG
rnacentral:rRNA from 1 species